rnacentral:rRNA from 1 species
UACGUAGGGUGCAAGCGUUGCCCGGAUUUAUUGGGCGUAAAGGGCGCGCAGGCGGCCGAGCACGUCCGUUGUGAAAUCGCCUGGCUCAACUGGGCGGGGCCAGCGGAUACGGCUAGGCUGGAGCAAGCUAGGGGCAAUGGAAUUCCCGGUGUAGUGGUGAAAUUCGUAGAUAUUCGCAAGAACACCAGUGGCGAAGGCGGCUCACUGGCCCGAUACUGACGCUGAGGUGCGAAAGCGUGGGGAGCAAACAGGG